AGAUUUUUGUCUCAAAGAUUUGAAACAAAAAAUCCAUACAAGAUCUCUAGAGAUCUCACCUAAAUCUCUAUAUAAAACACCCUCCAUCUUCUCCAAAUUAAAUCACAAACACACAGAACUCUUUACACUCAAAAUAUACACACAGAUAUUACUCUCCUCUCUCCCUUUGUCUGCAUAUCAAUUUACACACACACAAAACACAACACUGAGAUUUUUUUUACUCUCAUCUUCCCCAUAAUCUAUACUAUAACAAAUACCCACACAAAAUCAAACACCCACCCCCGCAUCCCUCGGUUCCCUCUUUCCAGGCGACACCCACCUUCUCCUCUUGACAACAAAACGGACCACCACCACCGUCCGGUGGUGGUGAGCGACAGCUGCAGAAACGGAGCGGGAGAGAGAGAGGCAAUGAAAGAGACAGAAGCGAGAGAGACGACGAGAUUGAUAGAUCGAGAGGAGAAAGAGAGUGACGGCGGAGAAGAAGCGGCGCCGCCGCUCAUGGCGGCGGCGGCAGUGGCGGUGGUUCGGGUCUCGGUCUGACGAAUUUCCGGCCAAAUUUGGGAAGACUUGCGAGUCUCGGCUCACCCACAGGUUGGUUCGGAUCGGACCUGGUCAAGUCUUGGAUGGUCAACAACAGUCAAAGUUUGGUCAACCGCUCGGGUCAACAGUGGGCAAGUUUGUUUUGGGUCAAGCAUGGAUCGGACGAGUCAGAUUCGCUCGUUUAACUCAGCGAGUCGACUCGGUCAAACCCGAGUCAACUCGGUCAGCACAGUCAAACCGAGUCAACUCAGUUGACCCGGUCAACUCAGUCUGCGGUUCGACGCGAGAGAUUUGGUAAAAAUUGACGACGUGUUUAAUAUUUACGUUAUAUUUUUUGUUUUAAUACUUACGUGACUAACGAGCUCAAACCCAUUUCGGAACAGUAUUUAGUUUACAUUUUAAACAUAUGAUGAAAAUUAACAUA